GAUGAACGCUAGCUACAGGCUUAACACAUGCAAGUCGAGGGGUAACAAGAGGAAAGCUUGCUUUCCUUGUCGACGACCGGCGCACGGGUGAGUAACGCGUAUCCAACCUGCCCCCAACUAGGGAAUAACCUUGCGAAAGUAAGACUACUACCCUAUAAUUUCCUCAGAUGUCAUCUGACGAGGACUAAAGAUUUAUCGGUUGUGGAUGGGGAUGCUUCUGAUUAGCUUGUUGGCGGGGCAACGGCCCACCAAGGCAACGAUCAGGAGGGGUUCUGAGAGGAAGGUCCCCCACAUUGGAACUGAGACACGGUCCAAACUCCUACGGGAGGCAGCAGUGAGGAAUAUUGGUCAAUGGGCGGAAGCCUGAACCAGCCAAGUAGCGUGCAGGAUGACGGCCCUAUGGGUUGUAAACUGCUUUUAUACAGGAAUAAAGUUAGCCACGUGUGGUUAUUUGUAGGUACUGUAUGAAUAAGGACCGGCUAAUUCCGUGCCAGCAGCCGCCGUAA
rnacentral:rRNA from 1 species